GACGAACGCUGGCGGCGUGCCUAAUACAUGCAAGUCGAGCGGAAGUUGAAGAGCUUGCUCUUCAACUUUAGCGGCGGACGGGUGAGUAACACGUGGGCAACCUGCCCUGCAGAUCGGGAUAACUCCGGGAAGCCGGUGCUAAUACCGAAUAGUUUUCGCCACCUCCUGGUGGCGUACGGAAAGACGGUUUCGGCUGUCACUGCAGGAUGGGCCCGCGGCGCAUUAGCUAGUUGGUGGGGUAACGGCCCACCAAGGCAACGAUGCGUAGCCGACCGGAGAGGGUGAUGGGCCACACUGGGACUGAGACACGGCCCAGACUCCUACGGGAGGCAGCAGUAGGGAAUCUUCCGCAAUGGACGAAAGUCUGACGGAGCAACGCCGCGUGAGUGACGAAGGUUUUCGGAUCGUAAAACUCUGUUGUGAGGGAAGAACAAGUACCACUUAACUACUGGUACCUUGACGGUACCUCACCAGAAAGCCACGGUUAACUACGUGCCAGCCGCCGCGGUAAUAC
rnacentral:rRNA from 1 species